UACAAAACGGCGUCUCGAACAAAAACAUACAGGUAGCGUAGCGUAUCAGACCUCUUCGUUAUACUUGUCAGAGGACGAAGGCAAGAAGAUCGUUGAAUAAGGUUAAAAAAUGGAAGAAGAGCUGACCUGCGCUAUCUGUUUGGAGAUAUUUCAGGAUCCUCACAUCCUGAGAUGUGGGCACACCUUCUGCCUCCCCUGCAUUGACCAGAUGUUGGAAAAUUACAGUGCUGACUGUCCUUUGUGCAGGGAGACCAUUCAUUCUCAACAUGGUCUGAUUAAGAAUUUCCCCCUCUGCAACAUUGUGGAUCGGUUGAGGACAGAAAGGUCGCUGGAUGCUCCUGAGCCCAUGGACUAUGAGGAACAAGGGGAUGUGUGAAACACUCACUCACAAGGUUUUUCUCACUCAUGCUCUGUUCAGAGAUUUAUCUGAAAUACUACUAAACCCACUGUGGGUAUAACUGCCAUCUCAUAUCUUGGGUAUGAGAGUUGCUCUGUGGUAAGUAUAAGCCGUGGGAAUGAGAGUUCCCCCAUGAACCUCCUAACACUUGAGUUGAACCUCAAAACAAAUGAGUUGAAUCUCAAAACAAAUGAGAACCUCUGUGAGAAUGGGUGUGUUGGGAGUGAAUGCUUGUGAGAUCAGAGAAGACGCCAGCACAAAUCAAUAUCAAGCCAACAUAACACAUCAUUUAGAAAUACUAAAAGAAACGUUUCCACUAGAAGACUUUCUCAGUGUCUUCAAUUCAACGACAAAUGUUUCCACUAGAAGUCUUUUGUCUUCAGCAUGGUUUAUUUUAGUAUUUCUAACUGUUUCUGCCAGCGUGUGUUUUAUAGCUAUGGAAAAAUAUAUACACAAUAAAUUAAUCUUGAAAUAUUAAUUUUGUUCUUGGCUCAUUUAUUGCUGUUACUUCAGUUUUUGUUCUAUAGACUGGCGUUCAAAAGUGUAAACAUUUUAUUUAGAUACAUUCUUCAAUAACAGUGUCCAUCCGCUGUUACAAAAUAAACGACAUCUAUAAAAGCAAAGGAGUAAGUACAGUAGUUAUAGGUACGGCAGGUCGUUGAGGACAUCAAAAACAAAAUCUGCGUCAUCUCAUGAUCAUGGGAUCAUUUAUCUCAUGAUCAUGAGAAUUUUGGUCAUUACUUCUGUUUCCCUGAGAUAAUGGAAUUGUAAUGUUGAGGUCCUGGGAUAAAUGAUGAUCUCAUGAUCACAAGAUAACAAAUUUUUAUUUUCCGAUGGCCUCAACGACCGCCGUUAAUGGGUCAAGACAAGAAGGAAAUAAUUUGAUGUAGGACUUGCAGUAUUUCCGCACUUUAAAAGAAGACUGGAAAUUAUAAACCGGUUAAAAUUAUAAUACCAAUAUUACAGGAAACCUUUAUCAAAAGUUUUCUGCUUUUGGAAAUAAAAUAGUUUCUUCAAGCUGAACUUGAAACAAAACCAAUUUUAAGAAGGCUAGGUGUUUGAGAAUGUUGGUAACUUUUCCUACCUUGUCAGUAUUAGUAGCAUGAUAGAAAAGACCGCAAGCUUUUCCAGUACUGGGGUGGAGUGGCGUAGUGUUAGUGAUACCAGCACAGGUAAUGAAGGCCUUUUCAAACAGGAGCAGCUACACCGUUGAAAUGCAGGGCUGUUAUGUAUGUAUGUAUAUAUGCAGGUAUUUAUUCAUUAUUUGUGUUUACCGUUGUAUAGAUUGUGUGUCCGUGUUUCCGUUUAAGACAAAAAUAAUGACACUAAAUAGUUUGCACUGUAUUUAGUGGUCAAACUACCUCAUGGGAUGGUUUAUUUGUACAUAUUUAAACGUUUCUGUGUUUGUGUCGUCCGUGUCUGUCGGUGUCGAGUGGUAUUUAUUACACAUGAAGUUAGUUUGCUAAACUUAUUACACGAUGAGGCAGCUGUAGACUCAUAAUGGCGUUUGUAUGCAUGAAUGUAUGUGUAAGUUUGAAGUGUGAAUGUGUGUGUGAAUGUCUUUUUCCAGUGGCAUUGCUAGCUGCUAAAAAUCAUAGAAAUUUGAAUAUAUAUAUAUACACACACACAGUAAUGUGCACAUUUAUUCGAACACCCCACUGCUUCUGUUUUGAUUUGUUGUGCGUAUUUAACCACUGUAACUGAAUUGUCAAAAUAGGCAAAUUAAUGACUGUCUAAUUUAAUUAAAUGACUUUAAUAGUUCACACAUGCAAUUAAUUUAAAAUGGUAAAAGAACAUAAAAACAUAAGAACAUAAGAAAGUUUACAAACGAGAGGAGGCCAUUCGGCCCAUCUUGCUCGUUUGGUUGUUAGUAGCUUAUUGAUCCCAGAAUCUCAUCAAGCAGCUUCUUGAAGGAUCCCAGGGUGUCAGCUUCAACAACAUUACUGGGGAGUUGGUUCCAGACCCAGACACAAAAGUAACACAUAGCCACAAUGGUAAACUGCAUGUCUUUAGAAGUUGUUUCAAAUGCCUAAUUAAAGCACAAAGCGGUACAUGUACUAGGAUGGGCCAGUGCAAACAUACCGCAUUUGCAUUUUCGUUACGACAAUUCGCAAGUGCGCAUUUUGUCGUAUGUACUAAAAAAUAUAUGUUAAUGAAGAGAGCCGCAGUAUACAAAUUUAAAUAUUAUUUGCGUCAUCUUAGCGAGAGUUGUGCGACAUUUUUUCAAAUAAAAUAACAGUAGUAAAAUCAAAUGAAUACCUAGCGCACUUUUUUGUACUUUAGUCUACUGGUAACACAAAAUAAAUCAUGCUGCUGCGUUAUACACAUUGGUGUACAAUGCAAAUAAAAGUAAAUGAUUUUAGGGUUUUCUAUUUUAUUUUAAUUAUUUUUAACUUGGUCUACUUAGUAGCCUAGACAAUUAACACACAAUAGAUCAUGGUCUUACACAGAUGCUCAGAAUGAGCUGGAGGGGUUAGUGGCACAUGUGUGCAGUCUAUUGCUCCCAACACGAUGGGAAAACCAGAAAUGGCAUAGAAAUUUGUUUUCAAGGCUUGUAAGUACACCCUGACUUUAGUGAAAAUUAGGUACUUGGGUGUUCGUCUCAAACAUACAUUGAGCACAACUGGCAACACACGAGAAAAAUGUCCCACACUGGGAAAUGCCAGCAACAAUUGCGACUGUUUAAAACAUGCUUUCAAAAGUUCUUAACAGAUUGAUGCAAUUGUAAGUGUCGCAAUUGCCCACAGCUGUAGUACAUCUCAUUACAAUAUUUUUUAUCCCUCAUUUGAACGAUCUCCACCCUGUUUUUGUGAAUUUCUGCAGGAACGCCCAGGAUUACAUAUUCAUUUAAGGCUAAAGCGCAAAUAAGGACUGCGGCUGCAAAGCAUUCGUUAAAAUGAUGCUAACAGCGUUUGUCUAGUACAUUUCACGCUAGACUUCCAACUGGUUUGCAUGUGGUUUCCAAUGAUUGCUACAGAUGCAACACUUUAGUACAUCUACCCCAAUGUGUCUAACAUUUCACACAAAUGCAUAUUGUUUCUAUAUCACUGAUUACUGACUGAAAAUUGAAAUGACAAAUCUUGAGGUGUUCUAAUGAAUGUGCAUGUUACUGUAACAUUAUAUAUAAGCACAGAAGGCAUAUAGGGUGUGAACCCCUAUUCUGGCAAUGCCACAGUCAGAUGUGAAAG